rnacentral:rRNA from 1 species
UACGUAGGUGGCAAGCGUUGUCCGGAAUUAUUGGGCGUAAAGCGCGCGCAGGCGGUCUUUUAAGUCUGAUGUGAAAGCCCACGGCUCAACCGUGGAGGGUCAUUGGAAACUGGGAGACUUGAGUGCAGAAGAGAAGAGCGGAAUUCCACGUGUAGCGGUGAAAUGCGUAGAGAUGUGGAGGAACACCGGUGGCGAAGGCGGUCUGCUGGGCAGUAGCUGACACUGAGGGCGCGACAGCGUGGGGGGAGCAAAACAGG